ACGGGUGAGUAACACGUGGGUGAUCUGCCCUGCACUUCGGGAUAAGCCUGGGAAACUGGGUCUAAUACCGGAUAUGACCUCCUACCGCAUGGUGGGUGGUGGAAAGAUUUAUCGGUGCAGGAUGGGCCCGCGGCCUAUCAGCUUGUUGGUGGGGUAAUGGCCUACCAAGGCGACGACGGGUAGCCGACCUGAGAGGGUGACCGGCCACACUGGGACUGAGACACGGCCCAGACUCCUACGGGAGGCAGCAGUGGGGAAUAUUGCACAAUGGGCGAAAGCCUGAUGCAGCGACGCCGCGUGAGGGAUGACGGCCUUCGGGUUGUAAACCUCUUUCAGCAGGGACGAAGCGCAAGUGACGGUACCUGCAGAAGAAGCACCGGCUAACUACGUGCCAGCAGCCGCGGUAAUACGUAGGGUGCAAGCGUUGUCCGGAAUUACUGGGCGUAAAGAGUUCGUAGGCGGUUUGUCGCGUCGUUUGUGAAAACCAGCAGCUCAACUGCUGGCUUGCAGGCGAUACGGGCAGACUUGAGUACUGCAGGGGAGACUGGAAAUCCUGGUGUAGCGGUGAAAUGCGCAGA
rnacentral:rRNA from 1 species